rfam:Shewanella pealeana ATCC 700345, complete genome.
CCAUCUGUAUCACCAGAUGACCCUAGGACUCUGAAUAAAGUAGCGAGUCUGACAAUGUAACGAAGUUCAGUACCAUAACUGAGCGGGAGCUGAAUCGUGAGAGAACGAUCCUCCUGAUAACCACAAAUCGGGUGAGUGC